rnacentral:rRNA from 1 species
UACGAAGGGUGCAAGCGUUAUUCGGAAUUACUGGGCGUAAAGCGUGCGUAGGCGGUUUGUCAAGUCUGAUGUGAAAGCCCUGGGCUCAACCUGGGAAUGGCAUUGGAAACUGGCGACCUAGAGUGCGGUAGAGGGUAGUGGAAUUCCCGGUGUAGCAGUGAAAUGCGUAGAGAUCGGGAGGAACAUCGGUGGCGAAGGCGACUGCCUGGACCGGCACUGACACUGAGGCACGAAAGCGUGGGGAGCAAACAGG